CCAGCAGCUGCGGUAAUUCCAGCUCCAAUAGCGUAUAUUAAAGUUGUUGCAGUUAAAACGCUCGUAGUCUGAUGUAAUGGGGACUGGUGUGGGGAGCAGCAAUGCUCUUUGUUUCGGUCCUCAUCAACGGGACAGCGAUGUCCCAUUUUACUUUGAGGAAAUUAGAGUGUUCAUAGCAGGCGAUUGCUUGAAUACUGCAGCAUGGAAUAAUGGAAUAGGACUCGCGUCUUAUUUUGUUGGUUUGGAGAUGUGAGUAAUGAUGAAUAGGGACAGUUGGGGGCAUUGGUAUUCAGUAGUCAGAGGUGAAAUUCUUGGAUUUAUGAAAGACGAACUACUGCGAAAGCAUUUGCCAAGGAUGUUUUCAUUGAUCAAGAACGAAAGU
rnacentral:rRNA from 1 species